CCCAUUGCGAAGGCGAUCUGCUGGAACUCAACUGACGCUAAGGCGCGAAAGCGUGGGGAGCAAACAGGAUUAGAUACCCUGGUAGUCCACGCCCUAAACGAUGUACACUAGUUGUUGGGGUGCUAGUCAUCUCAGUAAUGCAGCUAACGCAUUAAGUGUACCGCCUGGGGAGUACGGUCGCAAGAUUAAAACUCAAAGGAAUAGACGGGGACCCGCACAAGCGGUGGAGCAUGUGGUUUAAUUCGAAGAUACGCGAAGAACCUUACCUGGGCUUGAUAUCCUAAGAACCUUUUAGAGAUAAGAGGGUGCUAGCUUGCUAGAACUUAGAGACAGGUGCUGCACGGCUGUCGUCAGCUCGUGUCGUGAGAUGUUGGGUUAAGUCCCGCAACGAGCGCAACCCACGUAUUUAGUUGCUAACGGUUCGGCCGAGCACUCUAAAUAGACUGCCUUCGUAAGGAGGAGGAAGGUGUGGACGACGUCAAGUCAUCAUGGCCCUUAUGCCCAGGGCGACACACGUGCUACAAUGGCAUAUACAAUGAGACGCAAUACCGCGAGGUGGAGCAAAUCUAUAAAAUAUGUCCCAGUUCGGAUUGUUCUCUGCAACUCGAGAGCAUGAAGCCGGAAUCGCUAGUAAUCGUAGAUCAGCCAUGCUACGGUGAAUACGUUCCCGGGUCUUGUACUCACCGCCCGU
rnacentral:rRNA from 1 species